AGCGAACGCUGGCGGCAGGCUUAACACAUGCAAGUCGAGCGGGCACUUCGGUGUCAGCGGCAGACGGGUGAGUAACACGUGGGAACGUACCCUUCGGUUCGGAAUAACGCUGGGAAACUAGCGCUAAUACCGGAUACGCCCUUUUGGGGAAAGGUUUACUGCCGAAGGAUCGGCCCGCGUCUGAUUAGCUAGUUGGUGGGGUAAUGGCCUACCAAGGCGACGAUCAGUAGCUGGUCUGAGAGGAUGAUCAGCCACACUGGGACUGAGACACGGCCCAGACUCAGCGGGGAGGAGGGGGGGGGGAAUAUGGAAAAGGGGGCGAAAGCUUGACCCCGCCUGCCGGGGGGGUGGAUAAGGCCUUAGGGGUUGAAAACCUUUUUGGUCGGGGAGAAAAAGGCGGGAACGGGAAAAAAAGCCCCCGCCAACCUUCGGC
rnacentral:rRNA from 1 species